UCUGCAGUGAAGAGCACAGACAGGCAGAGGAAGUGGUGAAUGAGGGUGCCCCAGUUAGAAGCAGAACCCUGAGCACCUAAUGACCGGGAGGUUGAACAACCUGCAACUGGUAAUUUACACGCUGAUGAAGGGAGUGAAGGUGGUGGAACGCGUCAAUGGUGAGACAAGAGAAUCCAGACAGGACACAAAGGGACAUGUGCCCUGGGUCAAACACAACUACCAGAAAACCGCACGGCAACAUGACAAACAUCAUCACGGUUAAGAAGCCAUUUUUUUCUUUUUGUUCUGGGGGUACAGAGAUCUCACUGCAGGAAAACAGAGCCCGUGUGAUUUGGUGUCAAUUGAAACACGUGCAUACGCUCCCAGCAUACAAAUGCAGGAGAAAAGAGCCACGGGCAGGAACUCACUGUGCAGACCGAUCACUUGCGCAUCCAAUUAGGUGAGAGGAGAAAUCAGAACAUCCAAUCACUUCACCUCAUGUAGCCUAAGUUGUUCCUUCCCUCCCAAACCCAUUUUCAGGAUGAAGACCACCCUGACGGCACACAAGCCAAUACUUCAGGGGGCACCUGCUGUACAGCUCGUCGUUCACGGCCGGAGUGGGACUCUUCCGCAGGACGCAUCCUGCCGCCCAUCAAGUACCUUAUAUGUAGUACACUUAGCUGUUUUCUCAGGAAAAAAAAAAAUCGGCUGAGAAGGAGUUCUGUUUUCAUUGUUUCAAUAAUUUUCAGUUUUCCUUAACCCACUCCAGAAAAGCUGUGAAUGUUACAAAUGGAAUGGUAGCUAUAUAGAAAAGAGCAAGCGAACCAGACCAGAAGAGAGAGAAUGGAGAGAGAACACAGCAUAAGCUUGUGAGUAACAGAACUAAAAAUGAUAAUUUUAUCAUUUCUUAACCAAAUUAAAGAUGUGCAAAAUGGAAGGUACAGCUUGGCAGGAAGUACGGUUCUCUGAAUUUGCCCGUUACUCUCGUAAUCUCAUAUGUGCUAGUGUGACGUGGAUUUGAAAGUCCUUCUUAGCCGAUUCACAACCUGUGUGUGUCUCCUUUCUUCCCCUCGGGAACCCUGCCCUGUGCUGAGCUUGGAGCGCGGGUUGGGGACGUUUCCGGCUUGGCUGCCUGGCGGUUCCAUCUGUGUUGCUCUACUCCCAUCUACUGAUAAGAGGCUGCUACUUCUCCAGGAGCGCUCCUCGACGCCCUCUCCAGUGUGGACCGCUACGGCAGGAGAAUCUGGGGCUGUUGGAAGUCACUUGGUCUUGGAGAUUAUCUGCUCCGUGUGUGUGCCUGUUCUGAGGGUAAUUAACAGUACCCUAGUUUACUGACUGCUCUUUAAUCAAAGUCAAUGCAUCACCUCCCCUGAUUACCCCUCCAUCAAAUGCUGACCUGGAAAUCUCACACCAAGCUUCCCUGUGCAGGCUGGCUAAUUAAGAACUUGGUUGUUCCACCUAUAGCCUUGGAGAGAAGCGGAUGGCAGGGCUGCCCCAAAGAGGUGGCCUCUUUAUGGAGAAGGGUCCUGGAAAGAGAUCAGGCGUGUAUGAUUCUUCAUGGAAAUGUAGAUAUAGAUAAGAAUUGUGUUGGACUUAACCCUUGCACAUUUUCAACAAAAAUACUGCAGUCUCCCAUCGGAGAAGAGGCUUGCCAUACAGAGAACAUUUGCUGACCUUUGUGUCAGGCAUGGGGCCUUCUUUCAAUGCUCAUACCACCCCUUGAAUGAGGGCUUAUGGGAUGCAGAAAGAGGGAACUUCUGACUCCUGGGACCAACAACCCUCAGCCUCACCGCCAAGAAGGCUUUCCGCUAUCGUGAUAAAAAGGCAAGGAGUGUGCCUGUGCUUGACCAGCAAGCCCAGAGCAGGAACAAGAUGGAAACAUUGUCUCCAAGUCUCAACCACAGUUUUGUAGGUUUCUCUUAUUUGCCCUGGGAUGGGAUUUGGUAUCUGAGCUUCUGUUCUGCGCCUGGAGGGAUUCUCAGUCUAUGACCAGGUCAUUCUCUCUGCCCCGCUCCUCUGUGCCCUUGAUUUGGUCUCCAUCUCUCUCAGUAUCUUUUCUUUUUCCCUCCUCCUCCACACCCCCAUCUCUUCCUCUGAAUUGUCAAUAGUAUGUAAGCAAGAGUUAUACUGAUACACCUCAUUCUUUGAAGAGUUUUAUAUUCAUAAUUAUAACUUUUCAUUUUAUUCUCAAAAAUAAAUGAAUAAACAAGUAAAGCA